GUGACCCCAGGAUGGGCGAGGCCACCCGCCGAGUUUAAGCAUAUCAAUAAGCGGAGGAGA
rnacentral:rRNA from 1 species